AUAGAUGCCUCUUGACCUGACCCAUGUAGACUUUUGAGGGAAGACAGGAGUCUGCAGAGAGGUGCUAGGGAUGUUACAUAGGAGGAGGGAGACUGGGAGUCAGGGAGGAGGCCAGGAGCUUUUGCUUUGUGUUUCUCAGCUUCUCAGAAUACCAAGAUGGUGCUGCAGAUGGUGCUGAGGAGGGAGACCCCCCCGAGCCCUGCAAGAAGCAACCUAGACUGGAUACAGAAUGUGGUGAGUACCCUGGUGGUUCUCCCGGAAGGGGUGCUGACAACCUGCUCCUGCCUCCCUGGCCUGUAGACCCCAGAGUCAGGGAACCACUACCAAGGGGGGAAAGAGACCUGAGCUGGGGCACAGCUCCACGGUUUUAGGGCUAGGAGCCAUGGUAUCUGACCAUGGACACUGACACCUGAAUUUCAUAUAAUUUUCAUGUGUCAUGACAUAUUCUUUUGACUUUUUUCAACCACUUAAAAUAUAAAAAACAUUCUUAACUUGUGAUCUGCACACACACACACACACACACACACACACACACACACACAAACCUGCAACAAGUCAGACUUGGCCCACGGAUUGUGGUUGGCUGCUCUCUGCCCUAAAUCAUCCUUUGUUCUUUACUUUUCGUUUGGGUCGUGACUUCAGCACUGACCUGUCCAGAGCUCUCUGCCCAGAACUGGAGCAGAGGCUUCAGUCCCCACUCUAGCAUAUUAUGACCAUUGGGCAGAAAGAAAGGCAGCAUGGUACAAGGAAAGAGCAUGGACUCGGGAGCCAGCAAGACCUGGGUUCAAAUCCUGUCUCUACCACUUAUUACCUGGAUGAUUACUGGAUGACCUGAAGUAACUUCUUCUGCCUUUCUGAGCUUCCCUUUCCUCAUCUGUGUCCCAGAGCUUGCCCUGUAGAGCUGUUACAAAAGGGCCUUGGUAGAUGUACAACGAGACAUAGCUAUUAUUUGGGGACAUGCAAAUAAGCUGCAGAGGGUGUAGGCCUUCGCUUCCUGCUCACUUAGGUCCAGCAGCUUCUGCACACCAGCCUCCCAGGGAGGCCCCUCUCCAUCUCCAUGAAGAAAAUCAAGAAGAGAGCCUGACAUCUCCCAUGAAGCUCCUCCAGGGCCCUGUGAUGCAGAGCCCACCCUAUUCCCCUCCCCCAGCAUCCCCAGGUCUGCUGGGGCCUUACCACUGGGCCCACUGUGCUUGUCUCUUGGUUUCUAUCCUGCGUGCUUCUAUAUUGGUUCAACCAGAGGAAGACGGAAAUCUGCAAUAGUCAUAAACACAUUUAAAUCAGCCAUACAUGGCUGGGUGGCUCAGUCAGUUGAGUAUCCAAAUUCAGCUCUGGUCAUGAUCUCACAGUUCAUGAGUUCAAGCCCUGCAUUGGGCUCUGUGCUUACAGCCCAAAGCCUGGAGCCUGCUUCGGAUUCUGUGUCUCCCUCUCUCUCUGCCCCUCCCCUGCUCUCUCUCUCUCUCACUCUCUCUCUCAAAAUAAAUGAACAUUAAAAAAAUUAAAUCAGCCAUACAGAUUAUAAAACAUA
rnacentral:lncRNA from 1 species